CUUUCAGGGAAUAUGGAGCCAUUGAUGAUGUAGAUAUUGAUUUGCAUAUUGAUGUUAGCUUUCUUGAUGAAGAGAUUGCUGUUGCUUGGGAUGUAAUUCGCACAGAGCCCAUAGUGGUGCGAUUGCACUGUUCACUUACACAGUACUUAAGUGGUCCAGUGCCAACUGUGGAUGUAUUUCAGAUCUCUACUAAA